UGCUAACAGCAGUCCAUUUUCAAUCUUGAAUUGGUUAAAAUACAGCAACGGAAUUGUGUAUUUAUUUAAGGUGACAAUGUAUAUUAUUUAUUAAACUCUUAUGUUUUAUUGUGCUUUCUAUUCUGGCUUUGAAAUUUGGGGCUAAGAAAAAGGUUGGGAUGUUCAUUGUUCAACUAAUUUGAGAUAUUAGACGAUGCUAUUGAUGUAAUGAAAUUGGAAGAUGCUGUAAUUCAAAACAUGGUAAAGUCUCUGAUUUGUAUUCACAAGUUGCAAUCCUUGAUUGUUUUUCAUUGUAUUGGGUUAUUUUUCAUAAUAUUGGCAAUUUUGACAAAUGUACAAUGAUUUUAACUCUACUAUAUACAUACUUGGUCACCCAUGGAAAAAGUUUGAAAAGAUAAUUCAACAAUUAUUUGGAAACCUUUCCUCAUGUUGGGAACCAAAAUGAGGUACAAGAAGCAAUGUAAAGUGUACUUCAAACAGAACUUGAGUUGUACGAGUAGGGUUAAAAUAGUAACUUCGCUUUAUUCACUCUCUCACCUCUGCUUCUACUCUUUCUUCUCUGGUUGACAACAUUGACAGCCAUUUUAAACCUUCAACGGAGUUAAACUUUACUUCAGAGUCUCACUCCAACUUCUCAAGUUCUUUCAAUUGUUUACCUGGUAAGUAUUCUUGUGUGGUAUUGACCCUCUUCCCUUGUGAAUUUUUACUCUUUUUUUCCCAUUAUUGUGUUUAUGCUUUCCUAUUAUUCUACUGAUUUUUCUUAUUUAUAGGUCUUCCACAAUUUUUCUUGGAUUCUUUUGAGUUCUCGUAGAUGCCUCUUGAAAU
rnacentral:lncRNA from 1 species